rnacentral:rRNA from 1 species
CUAUACAUGCAGUCGAGCGGACCGACGGGAGCUUGCUCCCUUAGGUCAGCGGCGGACGGGUGAGUAACACGUGGGUAACCUGCCUGUAAGACUGGGAUAACUCCGGGAAACCGGGGCUAAUACCGGAUGCUUGAUUGAACCGCAUGGUUCAAUCAUAAAAGGUGGCUUUUAGCUACCACUUACAGAUGGACCCGCGGCGCAAUAGCUAGUUGGUGAGGUAACGGCUCACCAAGGCGACGAUGCGUAGCCGACCUGAGAGGGUGAUCGGCCACACUGGGACUGAGACACGGCCCAGACUCCUACGGGAGGCAGCAGUAGGGAAUCUUCCGCAAUGGACGAAAGUCUGACGGAGCAACGCCGCGUGAGUGAUGAAGGUUUUCGGAUCGUAAAACUCUGUUGUUAGGGAAGAACAAGUACCGUUCGAAUAGGGCGGUACCUUGACGGUACCUAACCAGAAAGCCACGGCUAACUACGUGCCAGCAGCCGCGGUAAUACGUAGGUGGCAAGCGUUGUCCGGAAUUAUUGGGCGUAAAGCGCGCGCAGGCGGUUUCUUAAGUCUGAUGUGAAAGCCCCCGGCUCAACCGGGGAGGGUCAUUGGAAACUGGGGAACUUGAGUGCAGAAGAGGAGAGUGGAAUUCCACGUGUAGCGGUGAAAUGCGUAGAGAUGUGGAGGAACACCAGUGGCGAAAGCGACUCUCUGGUCUGUAACUGACGCUGAAGCGCGAAAGCGUGGGGAGCGAACAGGAUUAGAUACCCUGGUAGUCCACGCCGUAAACGAUGAGUGCUAAGUGUUAGAGGGUUUCCGCCCUUUAGUGCUGCAG